rnacentral:rRNA from 1 species
CCUACGGGUGGCAGCAGUGAGGAAUAUUGGUCAAUGGGCGCGAGCCUGAACCAGCCAAGUCGCGUGAGGGAAGACGGUCCUAUGGAUUGUAAACCUCUUUUGUCGGGGAGCAAAAUACGCCACGCGUGGCGUUCCGAGAGUACCCGAAGAAAAAGCAUCGGCUAACUCCGUGCCAGCAGCCGCGGUAAUACGGAGGAUGCGAGCGUUAUCCGGAUUUAUUGGGUUUAAAGGGUGCGUAGGCGGGGUGUUAAGUCAGCGGUAAAAUGUCGGGGCGCAACCCCGUCCUGCCGUUGAAACUGAGGAUCUGGAGUGGGCGAGAAGUAUGCGGAAUGCGUGGUGGAGCGGUGAAAUGCAUAGAUAUCACGCAGAACUCCGAUGGCGAAGGCAGCAUACCGGCGCCCGACUGACGCUGAAGCACGAAAGCGUGGGGAUCAAACAGGAUUAGAUACCCGGGUAGUC